UGCUGUUUAACUUUUGAGUUGCUAAACUCUUUGGAGAGAUGACCUCCAUCAUUUAAUGCUUAGAACAUACUGAUAAGUACUUGGUGACACUAUACAGAAAAAUUGAUCCAAAUUUCCAUUCUCUUUAUUAUUUUUUUUCCCUGCAUAUUGACUCUCUGCAUUUCUUUCUCCCUGCCUCUUUUCCACUUUCAACUCUUUACUACUUUCACAUUUAAUUUUGGCUCACAUAUUCUUUAAACCUUUUGGGGACCCUUUUGCCUUUCAAGCCCUUCUUCCAGCUCCUUGGCCCGGAGAACAGGUACUUCUGCCUGAGAUCAGGAUUGGUUUUGUCCUCCUUGAAGGAAUGAUAAACCUGUAACUAGCAUUUUUUUUCUCUCAUUUGUAUACAUUGGUUUUACUGUCUGUCUUCAGUGAAAGAAAUAUAUCUGACAGAUAGCUGUACCCAUAAUCUCCCAAAUACCUCCUCCUGCCUCAUUUCAGGUUAUGAGGAUGAGAUAUGAUGUUUGCACAAGUCCUCUAAACCUGGAAAGUAGAUGAAAUAAAGAGGAUCUAUUGCUAUGUGGAAGAAUAGCAGGCAUCAGUCUUUUUUGGGAACAGUUUGUUGGGUUGGUGAGACACAUCUGAAUGCAACCUUUCCUGAAGGCAGAGGCAAAUGGCUUUCUCUCAAGUCCAAUAAAUUGCAAAUUUAAAUGUCACUGGAUAGUUUUGGUAGAUUCUUCCUGUUGGAGAAGCUUGGAGAUGAUUGAGAUAACAUAACUGUAAAGCUCAGAGGUCUUUUUGUAGAGUAGAACCUAGGUUAGAUGGGGAAGGUAUGCAAGAAAGGUGCAGGAGGGAGAAGAGCACAAGGUUAUACAGGACAGAGAAAUGCAAGGAGAAAGGCAGAGUUAUCAAUUUGUAUAAUUCUGCCACGAGUGUUUGAUUUUAUAUUUUCCUUAAUCUAUUUGUAAUAGCUUGCAUUUUCAAUAUGCAUACGGAGGCUUUAAACCUUAAGUCUAGGAGGUUGUGAGUACAAAAAGGAAGCCAAAUAGUCACUGGUUUAUAAUGUUACUUCCCUGAGUUUAGUAAGAUGAAAUGCAUUUCCUACUCAUUACUGAAUGCCAUGUUUAAUGUAGGGGGUGUAAGAGCUAAAUCUAGGAAAAGUAACAAGGCGUAAUUAUGGCUCAUCACUUGGCAAUCUAAUCUGUCAAUCAUCUGUAAGGAAUUGAUGUGCUCAAAUGUAUCCAGCCUGAUUAUUAGAUUGGUCUGAUUCUUUAAUUUCUUGGGAGUAAUUCUUACUGUUUUACAGUUUUAUGAUACUUAUUAAUUGGGUUAGCAUCUAAGCAGAAGAUGAAGUAACAGUAGAUAAGCAGUAUGAGCUUCUGCUAAACACUCUAAAUACAUUUAACUUCCAUUGCUGGGCUCUCAGAGUAUACUUAAAUUGCAGCAGGUGUAGCAACCGGACAGAUCAAGACAAUGGGAAAGGCAUUACAACAAAGAUGUGAUGACAGAAGAAGAGCAUGAUAAAAAGGUGCUAUAAAGGAAGGGAAGAAGAUUGCUCACCUGUAUCAGAAGAUUCUAGGUUUGCAGGGAAAAGCUUCACCAAGGAGGGAUCUCCAGAAAGAAAUCCUUCCCAAGUGGCAGUCAGCCCUUAAAUGAGGUCUAAGAGAG
ensembl:lncRNA